GCAAUGUUUUAUAAAACAAUUCAGAGUUGCUUUCCUUAUUUCCAUCAGUCUUACUGACAUUUAGAAGAAUUUUACCUCUUAGAAACCUUAGCCUCCAGUGAAAAUUAAGUAGGAACCAAUUGUG